GGGGAGGGAUAUCGGAGGUCAAGCCUUACGGGUGCAGAUGGAAACAAGUGGGGAACAAGCGAUAGAGCCUUUUUCCAUGUGUGCUUGCUCAAGGGACUGGUUUGGAGAGAGAGAAGGAGAGGGGGGAGGGAGAGGGAGGGAGGGGGAGGGAGGGUCAAUGGUGCCUUGGGCCUCAGAGGCAUGUCCCCUUAGACAGUGUCCUUCAGUAAUCCUGGCCUGGCGGCCCGAGGUGAGCUCCCAGCGCCCUCAAAGUGGCCGGCCUGAAUGCACAUACAUAGUUAGGAGGGCAAUCGGUCGGUCAAAACAGCCAGCACAGGGAGUCCUGGCUCCCUCCCUCCCUCCCUCCUCUCUCUCUCUCUCUCUCGUUCCCCUUGUCCCUCUCGCAUGUGCGCUCCUGGCAACAAAGAGGCUGUGUUCUGUCUCCGGUUGAUUGGCCGGGCGCUCUGAACAGAGACGCCAUGAGAACUUUGUUGGUUUGUGUGAGGGGAGUUUCCUCUGGGCUCCACACCAAAACACGGCCGUCCGGCCGGUCCUUACGUUCCUCACUGCUUCUCCUGGGUUGCUGCCCCGACUGGCACGUACACACCCACAUGCACGCACAUAUUCACCCACGCACACACACACGCACGCACGCACACACACACACACGCAUGCAACGAUAUGCACGCGUGCACGCACACACGCAUUUGCACACAUGCGCUCACGCAUGCACGCACACACACACACACACACACGCACACACACACACAUACAUCCACCUUCUCCUCGGGCAGGUCCGGGCUCCCGGUCCCACGCAGCUGUCACUCAGACCCUCGGUCCGGACUCGGGUUCCGCUGCAGUGUAGCGUAAAAAAAGCUCUCCCGCACAUUGCUGCGGUGUCCCAGGAUGGGCGGGUGACGUGGGGAGCGGACGGCGCCGCGCUCUGCUUUCGGUUGUGGUGUCGGGUGGCGGGCUCUGGCCCACUCCCGGCCCCUUGGACCGUCACCUGUCCCGGGCCCGAGGAAUGGCGCGACUGACGCGCUUGGUGACGCGGGCACCGACGCGGACAGCAGCUCUGCAUAGCGUUCCCCCCGUCCUGCUCCCCCCUUCUGUGUGUGUGUGUGUGUUUGCGUUUGAGAAAUGGUCUUUCCUCCAUGUAUUUGUCACGUGUGUGUGUGUGUGUGUGUUUGGUGCGUGUGUGUGUGUGCGUGUGCUACGUGUUUGUGCAUGUGUUAGGUAUGUGUGUGUGUGUGUGUGUGUGUGUGUGUGUGUUAGGUGUGUGUGUGCUACGUGUGUGUGUGUGUGUGUGUUUGUCCUCAGGAGUUGUUUGUCACUGGACACCUGCUAUGCGACGAUAAAGAGAGUAAGCGCGAGCCGUCCGGGUGAUUCCUGCUUCUGGGCAAAUGCCUCGAGCUCCAAAUCAACAGAUCCCCCAACAGAUCCCAAAGGAUCCCCCAACAGAUCCCCCAACAGGUCCCAAAGGAUCCCCCAAAGGAUCCCCCAACAGAUCCCCAAA
ensembl:lncRNA